rnacentral:rRNA from 1 species
CUACGGGUGGCAGCAGUCGAGAAUCAUUCACAAUGGGGGAAACCCUGAUGGUACGACGCCGCGUGGGGGAAUGAAGGUCUUCGGAUUGUAAACCCCUGUCAUGUGGGAGCAAAUUCACAAUAUAGGACCACCAGAGGACGAGACGGCUAACGCUGUGCCAGCAGCCGCGGUAAUACAGAGGUCUCAAUCGUUGUUCGGAAUCACUGGGCGUAAAGCGUGCGUAGGCGGUGUCGUAAGUCGUGUGUGAAAGGCGCGGGCUCAACCGGCGGACGGCACAUGAUACUGCGAGACUAGAGUGAUGGAGGGGGAACCGGAAUUCUCGGUGUAGCAGUGAAAUGCGUAGAUAUCGAGAGGAACACUCGUGGCGAAGGCGGGUUCCUGGACAGUAACUGACGCUGAGGCACGAAGGCCAGGGGAGCGAAAGGGAUUAGAUACCCCGGUAGUC